rnacentral:rRNA from 1 species
AGACCCGGAAGGCGCGGGCCUUAGUGGCGGACGGGUGAGUAACGCGUGGGGAACCUGCCCCGUACCGGGGGAUAACACCUGGAAACAGGUGCUAAUACCGCAUAACAGAAGGGGACGCAUGUUUCUUUCUUGAAAACUCCGGUGGUACGGGAUGGACCCGCGUCUGAUUAGCUGGUUGGCGGGGUAACGGCCCACCAAGGCGACGAUCAGUAGCCGGCCUGAGAGGGCGGACGGCCACAUUGGGACUGAGACACGGCCCAAACUCCUACGGGAGGCAGCAG